rnacentral:sRNA from 1 species
UAGCCCCAUGGAGCAUCCCCUAUGUGUCAGUGACUAGGAAGAGAGAAGUAGAAAAAUGCAGGAGACUGUCCUUGUAGCGGCUGGCAUGUUUCGUAGGGGAGGGUCAAUACUGAGCUGAUUAAAUGCAUACUUUAUGACAUAAAGCACACGAAGGGAACGGAGUCAGUACAUGAUAAGAGCCUCUGGGAAGAUGAUCAAGGAAGGCCAGUGGACCGGAUGCUGUUGGAGUAGAAUCUUGAGAACAUAAGGAACGAACCCUUCUCUAGAUGGGUUGUACGUGGACUCUUCUAGAACUCCGGGAAGAGCGACGUGAAUGGAACAGAGUGAUGGAAAGGGGCGUGGCCGGAAAUGAUGUCAGAGAGUUCGUGGGCUCAGAUCUCAGGACCUAGCAAGCCACGGCUUCAGACUCCUCAGUGGUUGCACAGAGUGCAACAAAGUGUCGGGGAGAGAACAAGAUGGCUGCUCCACGCGAAAAGCAAGCCUCAGCAGUACUCUGGCCUAGUUAAAGCCCAGGCGCUCUUCUCCUUGCACCCAAAUGGACCACACUUGAGAAAUUAAAUAAACAGCAUUUGUCAGGGGC